rnacentral:tRNA from 1 species
UGGGGCAUAGUUCAGGGGUAGAGCGCUCGUUUUGCGUGCGAGAAGUCUGGGCUUCGAUUAUCCAUACCACGA